GCUUACGGCCACACCUCCCUGAGCACGCCCAAUCUUCUCUGAUCUGGGAAGCUAAGCAAGGUCGUGCCCGCAUUGUCCUUGGAUGGGAGACCGCCUGGGAAUACCAGGUGCUGUAAGCC
ensembl:rRNA 5S_rRNA 5S ribosomal RNA